rnacentral:rRNA from 1 species
GGUCCCAAGGGUAUGGCUGUUCGCCAUUUAAAGUGGUACGCGAGCUGGGUUUAGAACGUCGUGAGACAGUUCGGUCCCUAUCUGCCGUGGGCGCUGGAGAACUGAGGGGGGCUGCUCCUAGUACGAGAGGACCGGAGUGGACGCAUCACUGGUGUUCGGGUUGUCAUGCCAAUGGCACUGCCCGGUAGCUAAAUGCGGAAGAGAUAAGUGCUGAAAGCAUCUAAGCACGAAACUUGCCCCGAGAUGAGUUCUCCCUGACCCUUUAAGGGUCCUGAAGGAACGUUGAAGACGACGACGUUGAUAGGCCGGGUGUGUAAGCGCAGCGAUGCGUUGAGCUAACCGGUACUAAUGAACCGUGAGGCUUAACCUUACAACGCCGAAGCUGUU